rnacentral:rRNA from 1 species
GAUGAACGCUGGCGGUGUGCCUAAUACAUGCAAGUCGAGCGAACAGAUGAGGAGCUUGCUCCUCUGACGUUAGCGGCGGACGGGUGAGUAACACGUGGAUAACCUACCUAUAAGACUGGGAUAACUUCGGGAAACCGGAGCUAAUACCGGAUAAUAUAUUGAACCGCAUGGUUCAAUAGUGAAAGACGGUUUUGCUGUCACUUAUAGAUGGAUCCGCGCCGCAUUAGCUAGUUGGUAAGGUAACGGCUUACCAAGGCAACGAUGCGUAGCCGACCUGAGAGGGUGAUCGGCCACACUGGAACUGAGACACGGUCCAGACUCCUACGGGAGGCAGCAGUAGGGAAUCUUCCGCAAUGGGCGAAAGCCUGACGGAGCAACGCCGCGUGAGUGAUGAAGGUCUUCGGAUCGUAAAACUCUGUUAUUAGGGAAGAACAAAUGUGGAAGUAACUAUGCACGUCUUGACGGUACCUAAUCAGAAAGCCACGGCUAACUACGUG